UUGUUGGUAAGGUAAAAGCUUACCAAGGCUUCGAUCAGUAGCUGGUCUGAGAGGACGACCAGCCACACUGGGACUGAGACACGGCCCAGACUCCUACGGGAGGCAGCAGUGGGGAAUUUUGGACAAUGGGGGCAACCCUGAUCCAGCCAUGCCGCGUGAGUGAAGAAGGCCUUCGGGUUGUAAAGCUCUUUCAGCCGGAACGAAACGGUUACGGAUAACACCCGUGACUACUGACGGUACCGGAAGAAGAAGCACCGGCUAACUACGUGCCAGCAGCCGCGGUAAUACGUAGGGUGCGAGCGUUAAUCGGAAUUACUGGGCGUAAAGCGUGCGCAGGUGGUUUUGUAAGUCAGAUGUGAAAGCCCCGGGCUCAACCUGGGAACUGCGUUUGAAACUACAAGACUAGAGUGUGGCAGAGGGGGGUGGAAUUCCGCGUGUAGCAGUGAAAUGCGUAGAGAUGUGGAGGAACACCGAUGGCGAAGGCAGCCCCCUGGGUCAACACUGACGCUCAGGCACGAAAGCAUGGGGAGCAAACAGGAUUAGAUACCCUGGUAGUCCAUGCCCUAAACGAUGUCAACUAGUUGUCGGGCCUUUACGGGCUUGGUAACGUAGCUAACGCGUGAAGUUGACCGCCUGGGGAGUACGAUCGCAAGAUUAAAACUCAAAUGAAUUGACGGGGACCCGCACAAGCGGUGGAUUAUGUGGAUUAAUUCGAUGCAACGCGAAAAACCUUACCUACCCUUGACAUGUAUCGAAGCCCGCAGAAAAGUGGGGGUGCCCGAAAGGGAACGAUAACACAGGUGCUGCAUGGCUGUCGUCAGCUCGUGUCGUGAGAUGUUGGGUUAAGUCCCGCAACGAGCGCAACCCUUGUCAUUAAUUGCCAUCAUUUAGUUGGGCACUUUAAUGAGACUGCCGG
rnacentral:rRNA from 1 species